rnacentral:rRNA from 1 species
ACGAACGCUGGCGGCGUGCUUAACACAUGCAAGUCGAACGGAAAGGCCCUGCUUUUGUGGGGUGCUCGAGUGGCGAACGGGUGAGUAACACGUGAGUAACCUGCCCUUGACUUUGGGAUAACUUCAGGAAACUGGGGCUAAUACCGGAUAGGAGCUCCUGCUGCAUGGUGGGGGUUGGAAAGUUUCGGCGGUUGGGGAUGGACUCGCGGCUUAUCAGCUUGUUGGUGGGGUAGUGGCUUACCAAGGCUUUGACGGGUAGCCGGCCUGAGAGGGUGACCGGCCACAUUGGGACUGAAAUACGGCCCAGACUCCUACGGGAGGCAGCAGUGGGGAAUAUUGCACAAUGGGCGGAAGCCUGAUGCAGCAACGCCGCGUGCGGGAUGACGGCCUUCGGGUUGUAAACCGCUUUCGCCUGUGACGAAGCGUGAGUGACGGUAAUGGGUAAAGAAGCACCGGCUAACUACGUG